rnacentral:rRNA from 1 species
UACGGGGUGGGCAAGCGUUGUUCGGAAUUACUGGGCGUAAAGGGCUCGUAGAUGGUCAACUAAGUCGGACGUGAAAUCCCUCGGCUUAACCGGGGAACUGCGUCCGAUACUGGAUGACUUGAGUUCGGGAGAGGGAUGCGGAAUUCCAGGUGUAGCGGUGAAAUGCGUAGAUAUCUGGAGGAACACCGGUGGCGAAGGCGGCAUCCUGGACCGACACUGACGCUGAGGAGCGAAAGCCAGGGGAGCAAACGGG